UUUACCUACGGGACGCAGCAGUGGGGAAUAUUGCACAAUGGGGGAAACCCUGAUGCAGCGACGCCGCGUGAGCGAAGAAGUAUUUCGGUAUGUAAAGCUCUAUCAGCAGGGAAGAAAAUGACGGUACCUGAGUAAGAAGCUCCGGCUAAAUACGUGCCAGCAGCCGCGGUAAUACGUAGGGGGCAAGCGUUAUCCGGAUUUACUGGGUGUAAAGGGAGCGUAGACGGUGAGACAAGUCUGAAGUGAAAGCCCGGGGCUCAACCCCGGGACUGCUUUGGAAACUGCCUGACUGGAGUGCUGGAGAG
rnacentral:rRNA from 1 species